rnacentral:lncRNA from 1 species
CCUGUAUACUUUCCCAGAAAAUAACCUAAUAGUAAAUAAUUCCUCAUAUAUCUCAAAUCAUCAAUCUUUAUCAAUUCCAGAAAAUAUGCCAUGCCAUAAAUGUCAAUAACAGAUUAUGAAUGCAUCAAUAUAACAGGUGACAUAAUGAAUCAACCGGAGACCCUGCAGUUGAUCCUGUACGGUUAAUUCCAUAGCUCAAAAUUCAAACCAACCGGAGUCACCACGGUGACCUGUACUGCAUUACUCUGCACAUAAGUCGGAACUACCUGAAGUAGUCUGUACAACAAGAAUGGUGUAAUAAUACGCUC